GAAAAAGUUGGCUUGGAACUAUAACCGCCCAGAUUAAUUAAUAAUCAUUAAAUUAUGACGCCAUGGGUGGGAGAAAGGUGCGUUGACGCAUGCGCCCGAAUAAAUUCAAAACGCAUGCGCACUUCAAGAUCGUAAUGUUUACAGUACCACUACAGAGCAGUGAAAAAAAUAUAGUUUAAUUAUUAGACAUGUAAACAAAUUAUAUAAAGAAUAAAAAUGAUAAUAUCAGAACAGAAUGUCGAAUAACAG